ACAGGUGGAAAUCCACCAGACAGAAGAAGAGAACUUCAAGGCACCAUAUGUAGCAGCAAAUUCCACAGGAAGUUGAAACCAGGGCUUCACUCACACCUUGUCUACUAUCAGUAAAAUGAUCCCUUUUAGGACCAGUUCUGUGUUUACAACCACACUGAGGAGCCCAAGUCUUGCCUUUAAAACUGAAUUUAAUGCUUCGCUGCUUUGAGUGCAGGCUAUCGACGUGCCAUUAUUGAACUCAGAUUAUAAUCGUCCAAAUGUAUCAAAGAUCUGGAUGAGCGUUUCAGCAGUUGAUAAGCUAAGAAUACUUUGUCCUCGUAAUCCUUUGAUUUACCAUCUGAUUUGGUAUCAGGAGUGUGGGCCAGGCAUGCAGCCAAAGCCAGGAUCCAGAGUGCUUGUAACUGAAUGUUUUGGCUUCUUCUGAACAGAACAUACUGAACAAAACAAGCUGGAACUUACUUACACUGAAGUUGUUACAUCAUUGCCAGUAGACUUAGUGGUAUCCAGAUUUCUUUGUUAACCAUAGGACAUCUGUGACCCUAUCCCGUGCAAAUAGAGUGGACUCGACAAAGUUGAAAGUAUGAGAAUAAUGUGAGGAUGUGUCAUCCAGACUCAUUUUAGUGUCAGAUAUAACAUCAAGGCUAUGAAGCAGUCUGGUUUAACCUUAGACUGUUUCCAACUGUUGGAAAUGGAAUCAAUGGCAAAAAUGAGGACAUGAAUUGAAAACCACAGUUUGAUGGAAAAGUUGGAGGAGAUUUCCAUUCAUCCCGUACUGGUGCGAAGAGAGCAGUGAGGUACAAAGUGCGAAGAAAUUGAAAGAGCUGUUAGUAAAGUACUGUGGGAUUUCACCAGCAUAUCUGUGGAAACUAAAAUUAUAUCUUGUUAUGAUACUAGUCCUCUCAAAGUCUUGUCAAACGCAACUUUCCCCACCUUUAUUGAAUGCAACAGUUACAUUUAUUUAGCGAUGCUGUGCCGAGUAGGUCCUGCCUGCCCUUUGAGCAGCACCACCCGAGCAACCCCUGACAAACCUGACUUAACCCUAACCUAAUCACGGGACAAUUUACAAUGACUAAUUGACCUGUCCAGUAUGUCUUUGGACUGUUGGUGCAAACCAGAGCACCCGGAGAAAACUCACACAUUCCAUGAGGAGGACAAAUAGACUCCUUACAGGGGAUACUGGGAUUGUACUCCAAAUUCUGAUGCCCUAAACUGUAAAGAGUCCCACUAACUGCAACACUACCGUGGCAAUACUGCAAAAGGCUGCAUAUAUAUCAGAGACAGAAGGUUCAAAGUACAUAUAAAGUAUGUUACUAUAUUCUACCAUUCAUCUACGAUGGACUUUUAAUACCUCUAUUGUCAUUACUAACUUCAAAAUAUCACCGGAUGUCCGCUUAAAGUUUCAAUUGACUUCAACACCUCUAUUAUGAAUGUCAAUUGAUCUUGUGAGUAAGGAAUUCAACCAUUUACAAUUUACAGUAAUUAAUAUCCAUAACUUAUAAGCCAACUCUGUAUCAAAAUAGUAGUUUUCGGUUCAGACUUCAGAACACUGUGAGUGACAGGGGCCCAUGCAGUUCUCCUUGUGCACAAGUAGAUAAAAAGAAUGAUAGAGUUGUAAGAGAGCAUGUGUUCUGGGCACAGUUAUCCUAAUGUUGGCAAUAGCGCAAUCCAACAAAUGGUGUGAGUGAUUGUCUUGGACGGUUUUCUUGGUGAUUGAAAGACCAGGCUGGGCGUUGGUAAUGUGGAAUACUGCACAUACGGUACACUGGUUCAUUGGCAAGACUGACAGGGUAGCUGCUUGGCCUCGGUUUUAGCACGGACCAAGGUUUCAUGCCACAGGGUUGUCUGUUGCAGCCGCCCUGGGGAAGAGACGCUGGAGGCGGUGUGGCACGACGUCCAUGCUGGGUGGGGGCUGGCCCCUCCCGUCGGUGGUGCUCUCCGGUGUUUGCUCAGUGGAAGACAAGCUGAAUUGCGUUUCUCUGAUGCUGGACUUCUUUAGCACAUGAUGAUUGGACUGUUACAGGCUUGUUCUUGCUGACAACAUCUGCACCAUCAAUCUACUGGCCAUGACAUCAUGGCACUCACGGACUUGAGAUAUAUUCUUAGCUUUGUGUGACAGUAUGUUUACUGCUAUCUUAUAUGUGCUAUAUGUACCUUGUGCUCUGUAUGAUUGGUGGUACUGUGUUUGCACCUUCACCCUGGAGGAACACUAUUUCAUU